rnacentral:rRNA from 1 species
GAUGAACGCUCGCUGUGUGCCUAAUACAUGCAUGUUGAACGGGAUGUAGCAAUACAUUCAGUAGCGAAUGGGUGAGUAACACGUACCUAACCUACCUUUAAGACUGGGAUAACUAUUGGAAACAAUAGCUAAUACCGGAUAUAGUUAUUUAUCGCGUGAUGAGUAAUAGAAAGGAGCUUCACAGCUUCACUUAAAAAUGGGGGUGCGGAACAUUAGUUAGUUGGUAGGGUAAUGGCCUACCAAGACGAUGAUGUUUAGCCGGGCCGAGAGGCUGUACGGCCACACUGGGACUGAGAUACGGCCCAGACUCCUACGGGAGGCAGCAGUAAGGAAUUUUCCACAAUGAGCGAAAGCUUGAUGGAGCGACACAGCGUGCAGGAUGAAGUUCUUCGGAAUGUAAACUGCUGUUAUAAGGGAAGAAAAAAUAGAAUAGGAAAUGAUUUUAUCUUGACGGUACCUUAUUAGAAAGCGACGGCAAACUAUGUGCCAGCAGCUGCGGUAAUACAUAGGUCGCAAGCGUUAUCCGGAAUUAUUGGGCGUAAAGCGUCCGUAGGUUUUUUGCUAAGUCUGGAGUUAAAUGCUGAAGCUCAACUUCAGUCCGUUUUGGAUACUGGCAAAAUAGAAUUAUAAAGAGGUUAGCGGAAUUCCUAGUGAAGCGGUGGAAUGCGUAGAUAUUAGGAAGAACACCAAUAGGCGAAGGCAGCUAACUGGUUAUAUAUUGACACUAAAGGGACGAAAGCGUGGGGAGCAAACAGG